GGUUAAGCGACUAAGCGUACACGGUGGAUGCCCUGGCAGUCAGAGGCGAUGAAGGACGUGCUAAUCUGCGAUAAGCGCCGGUAAGGUGAUAUGAACCGUUAUAACCGGCGAUUUCCGAAUGGGGAAACCCAGUGUGAUUCGUCACACUAUCAUUAACUGAAUCCAUAGGUUAAUGAGGCGAACCGGGGGAACUGAAACAUCUAAGUACCCCGAGGAAAAGAAAUCAACCGAGAUUCCCCCAGUAGCGGCGAGCGAACGGGGAGGAGCCCAGAGCCUGAAUCAGCAUGUGUGUUAGUGGAAGCGUCUGGAAAGGCGCGCGAUACAGGGUGACAGCCCCGUACACAAAAGCGCACAUGCUGUGAGCUCGAUGAGUAGGGCGGGACACGUGGUAUCCUGUCUGAAUAUGGGGGGACCAUCCUCCAAGGCUAAAUACUCCUGACUGACCGAUAGUGAACCAGUACCGUGAGGGAAAGGCGAAAAGAACCCCGGCGAGGGGAGUGAAAAAGAACCUGAAACCGUGUACGUACAAGCAGUGGGAGCACCCUUUGGGGUGUGACUGCGUACCUUUUGUAUAAUGGGUCAGCGACUUAUAUUCUGUAGCAAGGUUAACCGUAUAGGGGAGCCGGAGGGAAACCGAGUCUUAAC
rnacentral:rRNA from 1 species